rnacentral:rRNA from 1 species
UACGAAGGGUGCAAGCGUUACUCGGAAUUACUGGGCGUAAAGCGUGCGUAGGUGGUUUGUUAAGUCUGAUGUGAAAGCCCUGGGCUCAACCUGGGAAUUGCAUUGGAUACUGGCAGGCUAGAGUGCGGUAGAGGGUAGUGGAAUUCCCGGUGUAGCAGUGAGAUGCGUAGAUAUCAGGAGGAAUACCGAUGGCGAAGGCAGGUCUCUGGGCUGACACGUGACGCUCAUGCACGAAAGCGUGGGGAGCAAA